AAUAGAUACCCUGGUAGUCCAUGCCGUAAACGUUGGGAACUAGAUGUGGGGACCAUUCCACGGUCUCCGUGUCGCAGCUAACGCAUUAAGUUCCCCGCCUGGGGAGUACGGCCGCAAGGCUAAAACUCAAAGGAAUUGACGGGGGCCCGCACAAGCGGCGGAGCAUGCGGAUUAAUUCGAUGCAACGCGAAGAACCUUACCAAGGCUUGACAUAUACGAGAACGCCGUAGAAAUACGGAACUCUUUGGACACUCGUAUACAGGUGGUGCAUGGUUGUCGUCAGCUCGUGUCGUGAGAUGUUGGGUUAAGUCCCGCAACGAGCGCAACCCUCGUCGUAUGUUGCCAGCACGUAAUGGUGGGAACUCAUAUGAGACUGCCGGGGUCAACUCGGAGGAAGGUGGGGAUGAGGUCAAAUCAUCAUGCCCCUUAUGUCUUGGGCUUCACGCAUGCUACAAUGGCCGGUACAAAGGGCUGCAAUACCGCGAGGUGGAGCGAAUCCCGAAAAAGCCGGUCUCAGUUCGGA
rnacentral:rRNA from 1 species